rnacentral:rRNA from 1 species
UACGUAGGGUGCGAGCGUUGUCCGGAAUUAUUGGGCGUAAAGAGCUUGUAGGCGGUUUGUCGCGUCUGCCGUGAAAAUUCGAGGCUCAACCUCGAACUUGCGGUGGGUACGGGCAGACUAGAGUGUGGUAGGGGAGACUGGAAUUCCUGGUGUAGCGGUGAAAUGCGCAGAUAUCAGGAGGAACACCGAUGGCGAAGGCAGGUCUCUGGGCCGACUACUGACGCUGAGAAGCGAAAGCAUGGGGAGCGAACAGG